UACGUAGGGUGCAAGCGUUGUCCGGAAUUAUUGGGCGUAAAGGGCUCGUAGGCGGUCCAUCGCGUCGGGAGUGAAAAGCUGGGGCUUAACCCCAGUCCUGCUUCCGAUACGGGUGGACUAGAGGUAGGUAGGGGAGAGUCGGAAUUCCUGGUGUAGCGGUGAAAUGACGUAGAUAUCUGGAGGAAUACCGGUGGCGAAGGCGGCAUCCUGGACCAUUACUGACGCUGAGGCGCGAAAGCUAGGGGAGCAAACGGG
rnacentral:rRNA from 1 species